ensembl:lncRNA
CCCCCCUCUCCCUCCCGCUCCCCCGCCCAGGCCCCGUGAGUGGUGCUCCGGUUCAACAACUACAGCUCCCAGAAGACUCAGCGUCAACACGCUUUGGAAAAACAUAAUAACUCAUUUUGGAAUGAGCUGUGGUGUGUUCGGGUAAGAUGGAGGAGGCGGAGGAGGUGGAGCAGGAGGAGCAGGGAUGUGUUCGGGGUAAGAUGGAGGAGACGGAGGAGGUGGAGCAGGAGGAGCUGUGGUGUGUUCGGGGUAAGAUGGAGGAGGAGGAGCAGGAGGAGCUGUGGUGUGUUCGGGGUAAGACGGAGGAGGUGGAGCAGGAGGAGCUGUGGUGUGUUCGGGGUAAGACGGAGGAGGAGGAGCAGGAGGAGCUGUGGUGUGUUCGGGGUAAGACGGAGGAGGAGGAGCAGGAGGAGCUGUGGUGUGUUUGGGGUAAGAUGGAGGUGGAGCAGGGAUGUGUUCGGGGUAAGAUGGAGGAGACGGAGGAGGAGGAGCAGGAGGAGCUGUGGUGUGUUCGGGGUAGACGGAGGAGGAGGAGCAGGAGGAGCUGUGGUGUGUUCAGGGUAAGACGGAGGAGGUGGAGCAGGAGGAGCUGUGGUGUGUUCGGGGUAAGACGGAGGAGGAGGAGCAGGAGGAGCUGUGGUGUGUUCGGGGUAAGACGGAGGAGGAGGAGCAGGAGGAGCUGUGGUGUGUUCAGGGUAAGACGGAGGAGGUGGAGCAGGAGGAGCUGUGGUGUGUUCGGGGUAAGACGGAGGAGGAGGAGCAGGAGGAGCUGUGGUGUGUUCGGGUAAGAUGGAGGAGACGGAGGAGGUGGAGCGGCUGGACGGAGGCCGUUUGUCUUACAAGCCUUUACUCGCUCUCCUUCUUUGUUAAUGGGAAAUAUUAAUUUCCUGUAUUCCAUCUUUGCUGCGUUAAUAUUUGAUGAUUAAAAAUGGCGGCGGCGCCUCAGGCGGCUCCGUCUACUCGGCCACUUUGCUCUCUGUCUCCCAAAAGGCGUUUUAUUUCUGGAUCCCUUUGUCUCUGCUUUCGCUUUCGGGGCCUUUUUUGUGUAUUUUAUGAAGUCGAUUUGUCAUCCUGGAAAUGUCUUCCAACUCCUGAGCACUCCCUUAUUUCUCUCCCUUCUUUCUCUCCACUUCUCCAUCUGUCUUCUGUCCUCCUCCCCGUCCUCCGUCCUCCCAACCCCUCAAUUGACAAAUCUGACAAGUCUUCCUGCGUGUGAGGCAGCAUUUCAUUGGUACACUCGCACACGUUAAUCCACACACACUGAGAAUGGCUGCAUGCAAGUGGCCACAUAUACACACAUACACACAUACACACACACACACACACACACACACACACACACACACACACACACACACACACGAGCAGACCAACAAUUCAAAUGCGUAAUACACACACACGCACACAAUGCUGUAGACAACUAGUGGCUUCGGAAGAGGAGCGGAGAUGCUGCGAGGGCUGUUCUUUCCACAGCAGACUCUCCCAGCAGCAAAGCAUUAUGGGAAACCCGGCGUGGCCCUCCACACAGCAGGGCCUCGGAGGCUCCGCCUCCUUUAAACAUCAUCGACUUUGCGAACAAAUAUACAGAUAAACGGAUAUUAGAACAUUCACGGUGCAUGUGGCCAAUUUCUGAUGAGCAUCACAACAUGGACUGUGAAUCCAUAAAAAAUAUAUAGAUCGUCUUCCAAUCAUCUCUCCAGGGUGCAUCACUAUGUUUUAUUUUUUUUUUAAUGCACUGGUUAUCAAAGUGUCUUGUCGAUAAAGCUUCGACGGAAUUAAUUGAGGGAGAGAAAGGGGAGGGGGCGGGGGGGGAGAAAGAGAGACCACAUUAGCCUCUGAGCCACAGGGGGACCCGGUUGAGUGUUAUGCAACCAAACUAUGCCAACGCACACACACACGCACACACGCACACACACACAGGCCAGCUGUCCCUAAUUCCAGCAGUGAAAACUAUCUCUUCUAUUUGUCUCUCCCUCCCUCCCUCCCUCCCUCCCUCUCCAUCUGUCACGUUGUCAACACUUGACUUCUCGGCCUUUUCUUUGUUGUUCUUCUGUCUUUGGGAUUUAUUUCCUGGGCUUUGAUCUGCGUGCGGAUGGAGGAGGCUCCAACAGUCAGAACCUGUGCUUCAGUGUAUGUUGUGUUUGUUUAAAGGUUGUGUUACUGCGUGUUUCCCUUUACGUCGCUGAUUGCGGCGUAUCGGAGCAGCUUCUCACUUCCUUCCGUAUAUUCUUCUUUUAAUCAAAUCAACGUUGUUGAAUGAAUAAAACCCCAUAAAAUAUCACUGAAAGUUCUUCUCUUCUGGGGGGGCGGCAGGUGGCUUUGGAAUGACACCUUAUCGAGUGAACCUCCCCUGGACCUCGCAUGCGGUGACCCCAGUGAGGGGGGGGGGGUGUGGGGGGCGCUGGUUGUCAUGGCAGCAGAUUGAUGCUCCAGGAACAACAUCUCACGUGUAACGCUCGGGAGUCCCCCUCGCUUCUCACCCUGUCACGACCUCGGCCUUGUCACUCUGCGGGGCUUCAUGUUGCUCGCACCACCUGUCGCCCCCGGGGGGUCGGUACAAUGUGCACACACACACACACACACACACACACAGGCUGACAUGGUCCUCACGGACAGGAGGGAGGAAGGUCUACGUGGGGACGGCGUGUGUCGGUGGCGUUUAACGGUGGCGACCACUCGUCUGGUUUCUCUCUGCCUCGGGGACUGUUCGUCCCUCGAGGACCGCUUGUCCCUCUCAGGCUCGCCCCCCUACCAGUCUAAAGUUACUCGGGGGCAGUCCCCACGGAGGGUUUGGGGUUACACCGGCGCACCGUGCAAGUACACACAAAACACACAAAGUCUGAGGACGGAGCUGUCAAUCACAGCCGCCCGAGGAGAAGCGACCCAAUGGGUUUUAUUGUGGUACUCUGCUUUUUACGGUGUGAUUUCACCUCAUACAGUGUGGUUAGUAAUAACAAAGCAUUUAAUAAUAAUGACAAUUAUCCUGAGCAAUUAACAAUUAACCUAGUGUGACAGCAUAAGUAUGACAAUAAUCAUGAAGUAAUACUAUUAAUAUCAUCUGCUUCAGAUGUGUUUUAAGCUCCAGCUGGAUGCACUGAGCUCUCCAGUGGAGAGGCUGCCAGGCCGCUUGUGUGUGUGUGUGUGUGUGUGUGUGUGUGUGUGUGUGUGUGUGUGUGUGUGUGUGUCAGUCAGCCAGCGGUUGGUUAGAUAAUCAGUGGGCUCGUUUAUCUCGUUAGGCUCUGAUUGAUCUGCCAGCUGAUGGACGGCAGCGCGCCGUGUGUGUCUGUUACACGUCGGAUGGAGCGAGCUAAUCGAUACCAACAACACGGGGAAGAGUUUAACUGUUACGCAACGAUUAUUUAGGAUUAUUUCAAUUUAUUUAUCAUACAAAAACAUUUUUGUUUGUUUGGUUGGCGCCAAAACAGUAAGUAAUUUUAUUUUUUAAACUAACUAUCAUAAUUAGUUUUUUAUUUCAGUCGCUCCCGUUUGUGACGAUACGAGCUCCGUCUCCUUUGAAGAACAAAUAACGCCGAGUCAUCGUCUCGGUUUUGGGGACCCAGAGCUCAGAACCCUGAAUGAGCCGUCGGGGGCCUCGUCCAGGCUUUUGGUUCCACACAUUCCCCACGAGGAGAAACCGCCCAGAACGGCCGCAGCUCGAGGCCGCGGGAGGCCGGCAGCUGUGCACCAGUGCAUGCUGGGAGAUAAACCCAACUGGAGGCUUCUUCUAUGCUUCUAUGAACACACACACACACACACACACAAAAGCUGUUCUAGAUCCGUCUGCGCCUUCACCUUUAGCUUCCCCUGUGAUGCAACAGCACAGCGAGGGCAAGGAGGGGCCAAACUACACAAAUCUGGCUUUCCUCAUCUGCACACACACACACAUACACAACUACACACAUCUUUCUGCAUUGCAACUGCACCACUUAGCAUCAAAUAUGCAUCAAAUUAUAUAAUAGAGACUCUUAUGUAAUAGACUCCAUCCCUUUCUAUGCCCCAGUGUGUGUGUGUGCAUGUGUGUGUGUGUGUGUGUGUGUGUGUGUGUGUGUGUGUGUGUGUGUGUGUGCGUGUGUGUGUGUGCGUGUGCGUGUUUUCAUGUUAACUAAUGAAGCCAAUCUGUGACGGGGCAAAACACAGAGGGAGAGGAAGAGGAGGAUGUUUCUACUGCGCCUGAGAAACAUCUGAGAAAACAGGAAAUAAGGAGAGGAGCGAAUAGGAGAGGAGAGGAGGUGAGGAGAGGAGGUGAGGAGACAAGAUGAGGAGAAAGGAGUAAAUGGAAAGGAGACAUGUAAAGAGAAGAAAGGAGGUGAGUCGAGGAGAGGAGACUUUUAGGAAAAAAGAGGCCACGCCCCCCCUUGGCGGUCUCAGGCUAAGCUGCGUGGCUCCUGUCACUUACAUGCACAGCACGCAAUGCAUUCUGGUCUUUUUUUUCUGUCCUUGCAGGCGGAUAAAAUCCCUCCGUACGAAUGUCUGGCCUCCUGCUCUCAGAGCUCCAGUGUGGCUGCUGGAAACAUCUGGACAUGAUGUCACUUCUUCUGCGUCUUUCGCAGGUUUCGGGAAACUGGUUGAAAAUCAGUUGGUGAUCAAAUAAUACCGAGGUCCCAUUUUUCCCCCAUUUGAUACAUUAAAAUGACUUUUAACAUUAUUAUUACCAUUAACAGAGGUAUUAAUCUGUUUAUUUAUUAAUUAGUCGUUCUACAUACCUGCACAUUCCUCAGUUACUCAUGAGGGGAACAAAUUACACACACACACACACACACACACACACACAACAUCUGAACCAUAUUAAAAUCAUAACAUCUGCCUCGUUCGUCUUUGGUUCAAGUCAAAAUGCCUAUUUUGUUUGUACCAUUCAUAAUUGAAGCCUCUUAAAUGGACCCAGAUGAGACUUUUAGCAGAUUGUUUGAGGUGUGAAGCCACUGUGGGAAAAUAUUCUCCGUUAAAACAUCAAACUAAAUCUGUAAAAUACUUGUGACGUGCUGUUAAAUGAAUGAACACUGCACACGUAUCACGUGUCUUUGCAUGUGCAUGUCAUCUUCACGUGUGUUUCAUAAAUGAAAGUUAGGAACGUUUUUGGCAACACGGGUUAAAGAGAGAGACACAACGGGCUAUUAAACAAAGAAAUAGAAUAAUAAAUACCGGAACGGGAUCUUACUUAAAGUUCAUAAAGGUCAAACCAGAAGGGAAGUAAUGAUCCAGAGGUCGUUUACACGCCACUUGAAGAGGUUUAAAAUCCCUGAAGGUCCAAAAUAUCUCAAAUGAAACGCCUUAAGAUGCCUCAUUACUUUCACGCUUCCUUCAUCGUGUGCUUCACUUUCAUGUAAAUUCCAGGUUUAUGAGAAGGACCAUUUCCUAUUUACAUUCUUAUUUUUUUUAACGAGACUUAUCUGAAUAUAUUUGCAUAGAUAUUUCUGUCCCUCAGUCGAACGUCUCCGGGGGGAAUUAGGAUGGAGAGGAGAAAUGUACCGAUGACACGAGGCAGUCAGAUGAGAGAUCACACACACACACACACACACACACACACACACGCACGGCUGACAGCUGCGUCUGAUCCUCUGUAUGUAGUUUAAGUUAACAGGGAGGUCUAAUAUCAGCCAAAUCCUGUCACUGACACCGUGUGUGUGUGUGCGUGCGUGUGUGUGUGUGUGUGACAGCAUGGUAACACACGUCAGGUACAGACACUUUGAAAACAAACAGCGAGUGUAUUUUAUUUAAAUAAAGUGUCUUCUAAUUCGCCAGCUGAAGGACUGAAAGUGAACAGAGUUAAAAAGGAGGAUCUGCUGGGGAUUUUUUUUGGCACAUUGGGAUCAAAGCGGCGACGAGGAGAAGGAGGAAGAUGAAAGGAUGAAGGAGGAAAACAAGCCGAGGAAAGAGGAGACAAGAUUAAAAGGGGAAAGGAAAACCUGGAAGAGCAGUUUAAAAAAGGAGAAAAGGAAAGGAGGACAGAUGCUGGGAAGAGAGGGAAAAGGGAGGAGUUCAUGGGAGCAGGAGAGGCGGUAAGGGAGAGGAGGGAGGAAGGCUUGAUGAAAGGAGGAGGAAGGGAAGUAGAGGAGGAGUCAAGCAGAGGAGGGAGGAGGUGAGUUAAAAUGAGUGAAAGAGACGCAGGAAAAGAGGAGACGUGUUUGAGGAGGAAAAGUGGGGAGGAGAGAGGAGGAAUACGGGCGAGGAGAGGAAAGACGAGAGGAAAGGACACAUUGGGAGAGAUGAAGAUGAAGAGGAAAAUGGACGAUGAGAGAGUGAAAUAUAGAACAAAAGAGAGGAGAAGAUUGCUGGAUUUUAGAAAAGUGACAUUUAUCUUAUCAGGAUAAAGCACGAGCAAACAUUUGUCACCAAAGAAAACUUCUCAGAUGGCAGAAUGUGUGAAAUGAAAACGUUCUUCACUCCUGUGAAAGAGGAAGAAUUUCACAGGUAAACAUCAAGGAUGGUCCUGCAGGUAUUACACGUGUAGAACACCUUCCUCCACACUCAGACACUUGUGGCUGCAGAGAAGAGACCCGUCAAGAGGAACGAUUCAGCGGGUUUUCAGGUCGGACACAUGUGCCCCCCCCCCCCACUCAGCCGUAAUCCCCCCCCCCCCUCCAUCAUAUGACGGACGGGAGGCGCAAGGUGCUAGCCAGCUGCGCUAGCUUUUAAGCCUUAAUACCCUGAGUAUGAGUGAGCUAGCGUGGAGCUAAUCAGUCUUAAUGCCAUGCAUAUGGAGUUAGCUCCGGAGACGGCUAGCCGCUGUAGCCGCGGCUAAUCCAGCAGCGAGCCCAAUCCCCUGUUUUUAUAUAAUAUGUAAAUCUUAGAAAGUACAGCAUGAGAUUAAGAUUAGAGGAAGGGAAUAAAAAAAGAGCCGUGAGCAGGUUGUUUGGGAGGGAUGACUUGGAAGACGGCUUUUGUCCCCAUUGAGGUUGAAGGAAUUCUGCCAAAUGUAUUUCAUAUAAAAGAGGAAUAAACACGGAAGAGCUGAAACAAAUAGCGUAAAUACGUUAAAAAGGAGAGAGAAAGAAAAGAGCAUUUGCAUAAUCUUCCAGAGAUGAUAAAAAAAGGAGCUGAAGAGCCAGAGUGAGAAAACACAGACUGUUGACUUCCUGUGCACAGACAGGAAGUGACGUCACGCCGCCGCGGGCACAGAAAUACCUCGGUGGCUCUUAUCUCUAAGUGCCGGUCUUCAACCCGGAGCACCUGCUGCUCUCUUUCUCCGCCGAGUGGAGGAAAUCACAGCCUUCAGUCGGACGCCUCCUCCCACCCUCUUUUCCCAUUUCCUCCCGUUCCUCCCCUUUCCGCCCUUCAUAUGGUAAGAGCCCAAGC